UACGUAGGUGGCAAGCGUUGUUCGGAAUUACUGGGCGUAAAGGGCGCGUAGGCGGGAUGGCAAGUCGGUCGUGAAAUCCCUCGGCUCAACUGAGGUACGUCGAUCGAUACUGCCGUUCUUGAGGGUUGCAGAGGAGACUGGAAUUCCCGGUGUAGCGGUGAAAUGCGCAGAUAGUCGGGAGGAACACCGGUGGCGAAGGCGGUUCUCUGGGCCUGUACUGACGCUGAGGAGCGAAAGCGUGGGGAGCGAACAGG
rnacentral:rRNA from 1 species